rnacentral:lncRNA from 1 species
UUUGUUCGGGGUUCUAUAAAAGGCAUGUUAAGAAGGUGUUCGAUUUCCGAACUUGUUCUGUUCUCUCUUUAUAUCCAUCUCUCCUUUGUUUAGGUGUCAUGGCAUCAACCAAGCCAGUAAACGUUCUCGAGGUUUGCCAUGUUAGUCCGUCUUCUACCUCACCCGAGUCAAGCACCGAGCUAUAUCUGCCUCUAAUCUUCUCUGAUAUCUUCAACCUCAAAUUCCCUCCGGUUCAAGGCAUCUUUUUCUAUAAACUCACUGAGUUAACCCCUACUUUCUUUAACUUGGUAAUUCUUCCCAAGGUCAAGCACUCACUCUCUUUAACUCUUUCCCACUUCCGUCCUCUUGCCGGUAACCUCACAUGGCCUCCAAAUUCCAUCAAACCCGUCAUUACGUACAAUACUCCAGAUGAUGGUAUUAAACUUACAGUUGCCGAGUCCAGUGCAGACUUUGACCAUCUCUGUAGUGAAGUGCAUGAUGCUAUUGAGUCACAUCAUUAUGUGCCAAAUGUAUCAAUAUCUGAUACUAUAGCCUCUACACUUGCUAUUCAGAUCACUUUAUUUCCAAAUAAAGGUUUUUGCAUCGGCCACACCACUAACCAUGCUGUUCUUGAUGGCUUGAGCGUAUCCUUUUUCAUGAAUGCAUGGGCUCGCAUUUGCAGACAGUUAGUCGAUGAAAAAAUGGAAAUCCCUAGCUUGUUACCGGAAGAACUAACCCCGUUUUUCAAUCGAACAGUUGUUCAGGAUCCUGAAGGGCUAGACAUGUGGUACUUGAAUUUCUGGCUGGGAGUAAAACUUCCAGGUUCCGAUGACAAUACUAGAAGUUUGAAGCCUUUUCCAUUUCCAGAAACUCCACCAAACCUGGUAAGAACAACGUUCGAACUCUCUCGUGAAGAUAUACAGCAGCUUCGGGAAACGGUAAAGUCUCAACUGGAUAAUUUUGGAUCCAAAGAGGAAACAAAUCAAACAAAGCCAAUAUAUUUGUCGACUUAUGUGCUUGUAUAUGCAUAUACGUUGGUUUGCAUGCUUGAAGCAAAAGGAUUAAAUAGCAAUGAUAAGAUUAAAAUCUUGAUUACCGUAGACUGUAGACCCCGUUUAAACCCUCCAUUACCUAAGAAUUAUAUUGGUAAUUGUGUUAGCUCCUUUGAUGUGGUUGUGGAAGGAGAAGAUCUAAUGAAAGAGAAUGGGGUUGCGUAUGUUGCGAAGAGGCUUACUGAGAUGAUAAAAGGAUUAGAGAAUAGAUCAGUUUUUGAGGGAGCAAAGGAGAGGUUACCAUACAAUGACUGGGAACCAGAUAUUCGACAGGUACGAGCUGCUGGGACAAACCGAUUUGGGAUGUAUGGAGCAGAUUUUGGAUGGGGGAAGCCAAGCAAUGUGGAGGUUACGACCAUAGAUAGAUUGGAUGCCUUUUCUAUUAUGGAGAGCAAAGACGAAAGUGGUGGAGUUGAAGUUGGUUUAGUCUUGAAGGACCAUGAAAUGAAACUAUUCGGUUCUCUAUUUGCCAGUGGCCUUCGAAUGUAAACUGUAUUCUUGUGCCUCUCUAGGACAUGCCUCUACCUGUUUUUUUUUUUUUUUUAAUGUAUGCUGUGCUUUAAUUACUUGGAGUUUUGGAGUUAUUUAUGUAAUGCUAUUUGCUUGUGCUUGUGAAAUUUUGAUUAUCUUUUGCUAAAGCUACGUUUAUAAUAACUUUUUAUAAAUUCUCUCACAGUAGAUUUUUUCCAUAAAUUCUACCAAAAGUUUAUAUAUAUAUAUACACACACGCACACACACCCACAUGGAAAUGGUUAAUAAAACGUGUAUAUCUGAAAUUAUUAUCACUUAUUAUUUCCAUACAAUGUUUUUAAAGACAAAAGUUAGCAAAACAAGAGCUUCAAAAAUUUAAACAAUAUCAGUUAAAGUUGAAAUGAGAAAGCAAAGUUGAGGAGACAAAUAAAACUAAAACAUAUGAGGUCAUGAGUUUAAAGAGUGAAAAUAAAGUGAGCCUUAAUUAAGGAAAAAAUAAUUGAGGAGAGAAAAGACUCAGAUUCCACUAAGGGAGAAAAAAAUCAAUUAAAGUCGGGAUUGAAGAGAAGAAAAUACGAAUGAGAAAAGAAGAGAGUGUAGAAAAUAUAGGUAAACAUUUAAGUUUCUAUACAAAAGAGAGAGAGAUCAAGAGUGCUUAUUUUUAUGACAUGCCUACUAUUUUACUUGUGUAUAAGAAGACAUAUUUUAACACUAACAAUCUUGAUUCUUUUAUUCCUAGUAUUGUUAUAUCUUUGUUUUAGGAUUUGGAGAAUGAUACAGGACAAUCAAAUUUCAAUUUGAGCUUAAUUUGUCCUAUUACACAUAUUUACAUCAACAAGCAUAUUUUUCGAUCCAAUCAUUGGAUAAAGCUGAAAUGUUUCCAGAAGUUUUCAAAGAUCUUUUUUUUAUCUUGAGUUAAAAUUCCAGGAUGAUCGGAGUUUGGUAAGGCUUUAUGAUAAAUAGUCGAAGUUGUUGCCCAGAUCUUGCUACGUAUUUCCUGAUAAGAUCCACAAUGGUUUGCUAUUGAUAAAGGUGCAAUAAAAAACAAUAUGAUAAAGUAUAGAAUCUUAUCUUUAGACUUGAUGAUAUUCUUAAUGAGUUGCAUGGAUCUUGUAUGUUUAGUAAGAUUGAUUUGAAAAUUGGUUAUUAUCAAAUUAAGAUGAAAGAAGGAGAUAAAUGAAAAAAUUAAUGUAAGACUAAAUAUGGAUUGUUUGAAUGAUUAGUCAUGUUGUUUAGUUUACUACUAUUGCACAUAGUAAGUUAAUGAGAUUGAUGAAUCAUAUAUUAACUGCAUUAAUAGGUAGCUUCAUUGUUGAUUACUUUGAUGAUAUUCAUAGUAAAAAUUUAGGUGAGUAUAUUGAGUAUUUAUGAUUUUUGUUUAAUAUGUUACAAAAGAAAUUGUUAUGUGCUAACUAUUAAAUUGGAAAAAAAAUAUUCACCAUUUAAAAUAGUUUAUAGUUUAACCAUACUAAAUUUGACUUCUUUACUUGUUGAUGAAAAGGUUAGACUUGAUGGCAAUAGAAAAACAUAGGUGAUGAAAGCAUUGUUUAAGAAGGUACAACAACAUUUUGAGAAAAAAAAAAAGAGAAGUCAUUUCAAGCAAACAAAAGAUGAAAAAGGAUUGUCUUUGAAUCAGGAGAUUAGGUUUGAGUGCAUAUGCGCAAAGCUUGGACAUAGGAAAUCAGAGUUGGUGCUUAAAGAAGAUGAUUCAUUCAAAUUCCUUGAAGGAUUCAAUGCCUCCAAAAUGAAUCUACAAAGUGAGUAUAAUGUUAGUGCUAUAUUCAAAGCUUAUGAUCUUUCUUUAUUUGAUGUGGGUGAUUAUUCGAGGUCGAACCCUUUUGAGGAGAGAGAGGAUGGUGUGAUCCUGGCAACAAAAUCAAAGGAUCCAUUAAGAGUGUUCAUUGGGUCUAUUUUAAGGCCUAAAACAAAGUGGAUCUAAGAGGAGUUCAAUCGGCUAAGUCAGACAUGGGGUAAAAAGGUUUAAAUCUGUCAGUCUGGACCUUUGUCUACUUUUCAAGUCAUAUCUAAAGCUACAAGAGGAUUUUGGAUGUGAUUCUAAUUGGGUUGAAAACUAAGCAUCUAUACUUUUUCAAUAAUAUAUGGUAGGCCCACUAAUUCAUCUAGACAAGAGAGAAUGACGUAUUUGAAGUUGAGCCUUACAAAGAUUUCAUAUCAAACAACAAGAAUUAAUUUGUUAUGAAUUAAUUCUUAAUGUACAGGGCAUCAGGCUUUUGUUCAACAAGGAUUCUUCAACAAUUAUUUCUAUUUGGUGUUUUUCACUAUCAUUUGCGGAAAAGUGUGAAAAAUAAUCUUGGACUAUUGUUUUAUUUAUUAUUAUUAUUUUAAACUUUAUUUUAAUUAGUUUGGGUUUUAUUUAAAUUGGAUACAUGUCUGACCGAUUAGUUUUAGGAUUUACAUAUAAAUACUCUUAUGUAAGGAUUUUCUCUUUGUGUGGUUGAGUGAUUCUCAUACUAAGUUCUUGAUUGAACUUGCAAACUUCUCGAAAGAUUUAUCAACUUCGUUAUGAUUUAUACUUCUCGUUGUAGUCGUAGGGUGAAAGUGAUCAAUUGCAUAUAAUUUUGGUUCUUCAAGGCAAGAUUCUUGUUGAGUCAAGUUGCAAACUUUUCUUCAAAACUCAAAUUAGUAAUUUAAGAGACAAUUUCACAUCAAUCCUUGAUUUAUUUCUUUUUAUGUGAGAUCCUUGGUUAUUGUUUCACGUUCUUUUUUUAUCAAUGUAGUUGAAAACAUUUAUAAAAUUUUGUUAUUGUUGUUUUUGUCAAUGCUACUAAUAAUAAAAAAGAGUCUUUUAAAGUAAAACAUUCAUAAUUUAUGUUUAUGCCUAUAUUUUUUUAUUUCUAUUUAUAUCACAUAUAACAUAAAUAAAAAUAAUAAAAUUAUAUCAAAAUUCAAAAAAUUAUUAAAUUGCAAUUUUAUAUGGACCUUAGUUAUUUUCUUAUGUUAUCUUUGACUCUUUAAGAAGAAUUUAUACCUUUUAACAAAUUCUACUCGUAUUGAAAAAGACUCCUCAGUCAAAAGGUAUAAUAAAACUAUUAUUUAUGUCUAUGUCUUUAAUAUUUGUAUCACGUAUAUUAAAAACAAACUUUAAAUAAGAAAAAAAAUAUAAAAAUUAUAAUGCUAAUAUAAUUAUGUUAAAAUUUAAUAGAAUCUUAAAUAAAAUUUUUAUUCUCAUUUAAAUCGAAUGCAAUUGUUUUAUAUAUAUAGAUGGUUUUAUUCAAAUUUGAUUCCUACUAUGCAUAGUAUUUAUUGAUUUAUUUUUCAUUCUUUUAAAAUUAAUUUUAAUAUUUUUAUAAGAUUUUUAUUAAUACACAUGCAACAUAUAUGCCAAAAUAUUAAUAUACUUUAAGUUAAUUUGAACUUCAAAUGAUUAGUUGAUUGGUGCAUGAAUAAGUGAGCUUCUUAUAAAAGAAAAAAACUUGGGCUUCAACAACUGGAAGGAAUCAAAUUUAUAUCUUAUUGUAAUAUUUAUAUCUUACAUAAUAGCACAAUUAAAAUGAACUCACACACUUCACUCUAUAUGCAUUAAAGGAUUGCUAAUAAUCACGUUAGAUAGUUAUAAGAAUUCACUUAGGUUAAAUUGUUAAUUCUAGAAUCCUACAUGAAUCGGUCGACUGUUUAGGGUUGCCAAAUGAACCGAUCGAUUGCUUGUUCAUCAAUGAUGAACACUUUGAAAUUUUGUAAGAAUUGAUCAAUCAAUUGGCUUGACCAAUCUAAACCGGUCAACCAUUUUAGCUGUUAGAAGAACAAUAACGGCUAUAAACAACUAUUUUUCUUAGAAACAUAUAUAUAGCAUGUCUAAUUGCAAAAUUAGAAAGAGGAUCUGAAUAUAUAUAAUGUACAAGCUAUAAAAACCAAAAUAAUUAAAUACUAUAGGCCGACCUAUUCUAGGCAGGAAUUAUGAGGGGGAAAUUUGCCCUGAGUUAACCAAAGAGGGGAAUAAGAAUAAGGAUAACCAACACCCAAACACUUCCAUCCCAUUUAAGAGGGGUAUAAAUGAAAGGGGAGGAAAAAGAGAUGAUUUUUUCUCUUCCCCAAACAAGCAACAACCCUAACUACAGCAGCCUUCCCUCUUGCAAAGAGAACCCACCCAAAUCAACUUACAUGCCAUCUUUCUUGAAUGAUUGAGUGAAUGAAAAGUUAGAGAAAGGAAGGGAGACUGAAAAUAUGAAAGAAGGAAGAACCUAGAAGGUCGGCUAGAACAAUAGAAGAAGGAGAGAAAAACUAAGAGGAAAAGAAGAAGAAAACCAUCAAAACCUUCCCAAAAUUUGUUUAAAGUUGUUUCUAUAUCACUCAUUGUUUAUUGCUUCAUGAUUUCAGAACAAGGGAGAGGGAGAAAACUCAAAAUGAAAGAUUUAGGGUUCUUACACUUGUUAAUUAAAAAAAUAAACAAUUAAAUGAUAAGAUUGAAGAAGAAUUGGUAAUGAAAGGACACAAGUGCAUAAUUUUUACUAAAACAUUGAUGAACAUGGAUGAUUAUGGAUGAAUAAACCCUAAAUAAGGGCCGGCCAAAUUGAAAGGAUGAAAAGAAAGUGAAUUGAAGUGAUGGAAUGUGUAGAUUGUUAUCUUGUUAAGCCUUUAGAGAUAUGUUUGAGCUGAAACAGAGAUUAUGCUAUGUUAAUGCUUUGAUUUUGUUUAUGUGAUUGAUGACCUUGCAUGAUUAUGAACCAAGUGAAUGAAUGUGUGAUUAUAACAUGUUUUUGUGAGCAUACUUGUGAUAGAAAUGAUGAAUUGCAUGUGUAAAUUAGAAAGAAAAUGGACAACAAUGUCCGACCAAAAAAGGGAAAACCAUGAUGGAGACCUUGCAUGAUGAACACUCUUAGGGAAUCAAGAUAUGGAAUGAAAAUAAGACUUUUGCAUAAUGAAUAAUUCCUAUUAGAAUGUGUUUGAUAAGUUGGAAUGAUACAAUUAUGAACAAUAGUGAGAAUAGAUGUUGACAACACUAGGCUCGGCCAUGGACCAAUAGGUGAGAGAAUCCUUGGAAAAAUAUACAUAUGUUGGAUUAAUCUUGCAUUGUGUGACAACCUUAUGAUAAACUUGAUGAAUUAUGGAUAGUGUGUAUUCCUUACUCUCGUUCAUGUCUAUUUGGUAUUGGUUUGAGUUCUGCAAGAACCGCAAGAAGGUGAGAUGAGAGGUGUGUGCAUGUGAGGAUAUUAAGAGUUUUUGAGCGAAACACGAGGGAUGUGAGGAUUUUUUUUACCACUAACCAAUUUUUGCAGGUACUGUCAUGUCAGCGCAAAACAACACACCACCCCCUCCCAAUGUAGAACUUAAAUUCCAAAUGCAUGCCAUGACAAAGAUGAUGGAAAGAAUGAAUUUUAUGAUGGGGAACAUGUGUGACAGACUUGCAAAGAUGGGAAAACAUGGUAACGUGGCUGGAACAUGUACCCAAGAUGUGAGAAAAUUUGGGGCUCAACACAGAUCUAACAAUGGCAGUGGGGCUGAAAGGCCAAGGUGGGCUGAUUAUGAGGAUUUUGAAGAGGACAUUGAUGAUAUUGGUGAUGGCGGUUUUAAGGAUGAAAUCAUAGGCCACCAGGAAGGUUUUCGACAGCCUAGAAACUAAAGGGAUUUCAUGUAUUCUGAUGAGGUGUUAUGGCAAAAGAAAAGGAGGAUUCAAAAAGAGAAGUGGUAUCAAAUGUUGAGAAAUAAAGAGAUUAGUGUUUUAAAAAAAAAGAAUCCAAGAGUCUAUCCUGUAUUCUAGGGGAGAUGAAGCAAGAACUUGAUGUGUUAACGGCAUCAGUCAAUGCCCAACAAGCUUCAGAAAGAGAGGAGAAAAUACGCUGCAAUGAUGAUAUACGAAAUAGAACGGCUGCUACUUUCAUCCAAAGUUGUUGGCGACGAUUGCUGGUAAGAAAAGAACUCCAAAGGCUUCAAAAGGAGGCUAAGGAAUUGUCCAUUCAACUUAUUGGUGAUUUGAGGACGAAUCAUCUUGAAGAGAGAGGGAAUGAUACAAUCUAGGAAAGGUCAAAUUCGGAUUUUGAUGUAAAAUAUGCAAUUAUCCAGUUUUAUGACAACAAUUAUAAUUCUCAAUCCGACCAUUGGAUCGGACUGAAAUUUUACAUAGAGUCUCUUGACAUGUUUUCCUACCUUGGGUUAAAAUAUCAGGUCAAUUAGAGUUUGGAAAGGCAUCGAAACACGGGUCAACAUAGGCUGUAUUUUGUUAUUUACUUCCUUUUGACUUGUGGACUUCCUAUUUGGCUAGGAUUCUUUUCCUAAAAUGAUGUGGCGGCUUAUUUUAGGAAUCUUCUAUUUCUACAAAGAUCUUUAAUGGGCUGCAACAUAGUUUCCAAGUGUGGCAAUGAUUCAUAAAUGUUUUAUAAUCCUUUUCUUACAAGGAUUCCUUAUUCAUCCUAGCUACAAAAAAAGGAAAGAAGAUUUCAGAAUUAAUUCUACCUUCAGAUUUCAUUCUCCUAGCUUAUAUGGGACUUCUAAAGGGCAACAAAUCUAAUCCUAUUAUAUUUAGGAUAUUAAAUUCGGAUUUAUUAUUGUUAUUAUUAUUUUCUUCUUAGUUUAGGGUUUAUUUAUAUUAUUUGGGUUUAAUUGUAAAUGGGCAUCAUAUAAGUCCACAUAAGGGGUCCAUUAGGGUUUACUUUAGUUUGGAGUCACUAUAAAUAAGGGCAUAACUAGACAUGUAAGGGCAGACAAUUCAGAUUAAUAAAACUUCUUGUUUACCGCACUCUGUGUGUGUGUGUGUUGGUGAGAUAAUCUCCCUUCCAUAGUUCUCUAAAGAACUGAAAAAUGACUUAUCAAAGAACAACUGUCUUCGUGGCGUCAUCCUUAUACUUCUCAUUCACGAAUCAAUAUUCGUUGGGUGGGGGGUCUCCGUUUCCAAUAGUGCUGGUGCCUAGGUACAAGUUAUCUUUGUGUCACACUCCUAUCAAACCUGAUUUACUUGGAUUUUCGGGAAUUAGUGUCUUUGCGUGUGGGUUGCGUGACCAUGUGAUCACGAGGUUCGCAUCAUAGGUUGUACAGAAUAAACUAGAAUGCCUAGGAUGUAUUUUACCAUGCUACGAUGAAUGAGAAGUGAUGUUAACAUUGAGGAGAAUCGUAGUAUGUCAAAAAAAGAAGUGACAAGGCUACAACUAUUAUAGAAAGGAAUGUCGAUCAAUAAGUUAUCUCUAGUAAUAUGGUUCAGUACAAACUAUCUUCAUGAAAUAGGGACACCCCCUUAUCACCUUUACUUUGUAAAUUUGAAUAUGAUUUGAUUAUGGUCUAUGCUUGAACUAGGUUGAAGCGGCAAAAGGAAAAAACUUGACACGGGUCCUAGGUGUAACCUAGGAAAAAGUAGCAUUAGAAGUGACUUAGUUUUCGCUGAUGAUUUUCUAAGUCAAAAGUGACUUAGUUUUCGCUGAUGAUUUUCUGUGUCAAAACUAACAUAGUUUAAGCUGACGAUUUUCUGUGUUGGAAGUGACUUAGAUUUUGUUGACGAUUCCAAUGUCAGUUGGCCUAACCCCAUCAUGGAACACUAGAAUUAAAUCAUAGGAUUUAUGUGGGUAACCUACAUUUAGAAUUAAAAAGAAUGUCUGGAUAUAAUGACUUUCAUUAUAUGAUUAUAUCAUAUGAGGAACACUUGAAUGUGAGCUUGUGCAUUCUUGGAAUAUAUGUGGUAUUAGUAUAUGAGAUUGUUGAAUACAAAUAUAUUGAUUGAUGAUCAUUGGUGUAUCAGGAGGUGUGACUGAGAUUGGACCUUCGAUCGGACAAGGACACCCUACGGGAGGAGUAGAUAGGUGGUCUUAACCUUUUUCCGUAAUUAUAUUAGAUCCUUGUAAUGAAUGUUAUAUAAAAUUGUUGCUAUUCGGUUAUGAUUACUGGAAAUUGCUCAUGAAAUAGUUGAUUGAAUAAUGUGAUUAGCUUCGGCUAAUGGUAUCCGUAAUGGAUGACCAGGAUUGAAUAUUGUGAUUAGUUGUGGCUAAUGGUAUUCGUAAUAGAUGAUCGGGAUUGAAUAAUGUGAUUAGUUAUAACUAAUGGUAUCCAUAAUGGAUGACUGAGAUUGAAUAAUAUAACUAGCUUCGACUAAUGAUAUUCAUAAGGGAUGACCGAAGUUCAAUAGAGUAAUUUGCCUCGACUAAUGGUGUAUUUAUUAGAUGAUCAAGAUCAAAUGAUGGAAUUACAUUUGGGUAAUGACACUUGGGCUUAUGGACUAAGGGAGACCAUGGAGCUAACUUCGAUCUCUAAAACUCAAAUUGAGUGAAAUGGAUGUACAAAUAAGAUUAACAUAGUUCGACAAAAUCAUAGUGAUUGUAUUAUAUGAAGUUAAUGAAAAGAAUUUACUUACCUAGGUUAAUAGUGAAAUUUGCAAUUAUAUUUUUCUAUUCAUUAUUUUUAUAAUAUUAAAGAUCGUUUUUAUUUCUUAUAAUGCAUUUGAACUGUAACUGAGACAUCACACAGCCAAGGCACGUAGGAACUCCAUUCCAUGGUUCCAUAUGCUUUGAUAUAAACUAUGUAAUCACAUGUUUAGGGUGAUAUGCAUUUUGUGUAAAAAGUGUAAUAGUCAUGGAUUUGUCGAUCAACACGUUUGUAAAGACUUGUAAUGAUGAUUUUCUAGAAACAAGGAUGUGAACUAAUAUGUAUAAUGACAUAAUGAAAUGAAUGUGUUGUUUAUGUACUCUAUACUGUAAGAUGUUGGAUUAUGUGAUCAUAUGGGUGUCACACUAUUAUAAUUGGCGGUGCUUAUAUACUUGAUCUAUAAACAUGGUUGUACAAAGCAUCAAUAGGUGAGAUGAAAGAAAAAGAAAAAGAAAAUCACCCAUUUCAUGUCAUUUAACUAAUCAAUGUGUUGGGAAUUAAUGAGAAACCUUAAGCUAUUACAGUUGGUAUCGGAGCAUGAUUAGUACUUAAAAGUGUAUUUUUAUCAAGGUUUUAUAUCAUAAUUUUGCACUUAAAGUAUCAAUAUCUCCUUAACUUGAGCAUGUUUUAUAAUAACAUGUCUAAUAAUAUAAGAUACCUUUAAUUUAUGGUAAAUGUUCAUCUUAAAUGCAGGCCUAUCACAUAAAUCAAAGGAUUGAUUGAUGAGUUUAACUACUGAAAUUGAGAAGACAAAGAGAAGGCUAAGCUUAGAAAAGAGAUGUUGGUUCAAUCCAAACUGGAACACCAUUCGGUUAUUGGACCAUAACUGGAGCUGUAGAACUUGGAUUUAGGUCUGGUUUAUAUGUAUGGAAAGUUAAGACAUAGGCCUAAAACUUUGAUAAGAGUCCAAGAUUCAAAAAGACCAUUUUCAAGUUCAAAUUAUAGCAACAACAGAGAAGUCGGAAUCUGUCCUACAGACCAGAUAUUAUUCAGUGUUCAGCCCAUAUCUCGAGUUCUAGAAGUUCAAAUGCUAAUCACUGUGUUGGGAAUUAAUGAGAAACCUUGAGCUAUUACAGUUGGUAUCAGAACAUGAUUAGUACUUAAAAGUGUAUUUUUAUCAAGGUUUUAUAUCAUAAUUGUGCACUUGAAGUAUCAAUAUCUCCUUAACUAGAGCAUGUUUUAUAAUAACAUGUCUAAUAAUAUAAGAUACCUUUAAUUUAUGGUAAAUGUUCAUCUUAAAUGCAGGUCUAUCAUAUAAAUCAAAGGAUUGAUUGAUGAGUUUAACUACUGAAAUUGAGAAGAUAAAGAGAGGGCUAAGCUUAGAAAAUAGAUGUUGGUUCAGUCCAAACUGGAAUACCAUUCGGUUAUUGGACCAUAACUGGAGCUGUAGAACUUCGAUUUAGAUCUGGUUUAUAUGUAUGAAAAGCUAAGACAUAGACCUAAAACUUUGAUUUAGAUCUGGUUCAGUCCAAACUUUGUUUAUACCUAGUUCCUAAAAAAAUCAAUGUAGAAGGAUGAUAUCGAAAGAAAAUCUAAAAAUGGACAACAAAAUAUAGACUAGAAAGUCAGACACGCCCACUAAACCCUGUGACCUGGCUCAGACAAAUGAGAUUACCUAAUAUAAGAAAAAUUGAGAAAUAUUAUGAGGCUCAAUUCUUAAGCAACUUAUAAGUUAACUGUAUAAACUAUAAAUAAAGAAAUAGAUCAUAACAAAAAAGGAGUUGAAGAGAGCUUUGAGAAGUGAUAUUGAUAUAAGGAUUAAACAAGGAUAAAAUAAUUGUCAAGGUUAGAGGGUCCACUAAUGGUAUUUCAAACAAGUAUAGUAUAAACUCUUUUUAUUACUCAACUAGAAACCAUACACAAAGGAGGUUCCAAUUGGAUUAUAAAUUGUUAACAUGAUUACAUUAGUUAUCUUAUUUGAAUAAUGCUAAUACUUGUAAAUAUUGUCAGGUAUUCAUGAUUAUAACUUAUGUUAACAACAAAUCAAGUUCCUUUCAUAGCAUAGGUGUCGGUUAUACCAUACGGUUGGGCUAUGAAAGUGCCAAGUAUUUUUUGUACCAAGGGUUAUACAAUAUAAAUCUAGAUUAACCAUUUAGCAAGCAAAGUAUUAAAAGUGAACAAGAUAACAAAUACAAAACAUGUUAGUAUCAAACAUUAAAGUCCAUGUUGAGUUUAUACUAUACUUAUUCUUACACCAUUAGUGUAACCUUUUCAUCUUGACAUAAUAAACUUAGCUAAACAUAAUGAAAGAGAGAAACAUAAAUAAACAAGAUAAGAACAUAAAUAAGAUAUAAGUUAACUAAGUAAAGGAAAUGAAAUGAAAAGCAUAAACAAGAAAUUAAUAUAAACAAAACUUAAGCAUUACAAAAAUAUAAAGAGAGAGAGCAAGAACAUGAUCUUGAUCUGAAAACCAAGAUGCCUAAAUGGAUGGCAAAUGCCUCCUUUUAUAGGCUAAAAUUCAGAACUAGUGAUUUGAUGAUUAAUUGUUGAGUGGGUGGCCACCUCUUGACUUGGUAACAAUCUUUAUCUUCUUGUCUACAGAAAACGUCAUUGCUAACAUCAGAAUUUGAGCAGAUAAUCUGCAUGAAAGUUCUGGGAAAUUGUCUCAGCUUUCCAACAAAACAAGAAUCAGUGCAUUUGAACUUCUAGAACUCGAGAUAUAGGCUGAACACUGAAUAGUAUAUGGGCUGCAGGACAGAUUCCGACUUCUCUGUUGUUGCUACAAUUUGAACUUGAAAAUGGUCUUUUUGAAUCUUGGACUCUGUAUCAAAGUUUUAGGCCUAUGUCUUAACUUUCCAUACAUAUAAACCAGACCCAAAUCCAAGUUCUACAGCUCUAGUUAUGAUCCAAUAAUCGAAUGGUGUUCUAGUUUGGACUGAACCAGCAUCUCUUUUCUAAGCUUAGCCCUCUCUUUGUCUUCUCAAUUUCAGUAGUUAGACUCAUCAAUGAAUCCUUUGAUUUAUGUGAUAGGCUUGCAUUUAAGAUGAACAUUUACCAUAAAUUAAAGGUAUCUUAUAUUAUUAGACAUGUUAUUAUAAAACAUGCUCUAGUUAAGGAGAUAUUGAUACUUCAAGUGCAAAAUGAUGAUAUAAAACCUUGAUAAAAAUGCACUUUGAAGUACUAAUCAUUUAGGAAUUUUUAUGUUUAGGGACCUUCACUUUUUUUUCUGCCCGCUGGAGAAAGGAUAGCCGACCAUGAUGUUUUUAUGAUUUUUAGUCUAUGAUAUACAUGAUAUAAAGGUGUGCUCCCCAAUGUUUUCUUUCUGUUUGCAUGAAAUAAGGCAGGUCUCAACUUAGGAAAAAGGGUAAGGUUGUGAGGCAUGGACAUAGGAUUUUGAGUUCAAAAUCUGGGUUUCAGAACUUUGGCUCCCUUGGGCAUAUAGACUUGUUUUUCCAGUUAUAGAAUUUUAAGUUGAAGUAGGCGAGCCGAACCCUGUUUGAGUGGAGUUUGAGUUGAGUUGGCUUUGAAUGUUUUUUUUUUAGUUGCUUUAAGCUUUUUAUAAAUCUUAGAAUAUAUGUGACGGUUGGUUAACUUUUAUUGCGAUGUUUGUGUUUAAUUGUGAUGUUUGUGUUCUGAUAAAAAAUAAAAGUUUUCUUGUAUGUUGCAUACAGCCCAUACCCUAACAUGUUUUAACAUUUUUUUAUAUAAAAAAAACAAAUAUUUGAAGUUUUGAAAAUGUGUUUUCGCAUGGAUUUUUUAAACACAACAAAAAAAAUUAUUUUCUUGCAUUCUGGAUUUUACAAUAUGUUUGUAAAACUCCAAAGGGUAUUGGCCAAUAUUCAAAAAAAUACAAAAAUCUUAUUUUGGGGGGAAUUCAUCUAUUAUUCAUCGUAAAUGUUUGGAUAAAGAAAUCUCAAAGGGAUGAAUAUCCAAAAUAUUAUUGGGAAUAACUUGUUAUUAUUCACUGUUAAUAUUUGGAUAAAGAAACCCUAAGUGGUAAAUAUCCAAAAUAAUUUUUUAGGAAUAAUAAGUCAUCACACAUCCUUGAAAGAAGCCUUAAUUAUAAUUGAGGACAUUUUAAUUUUUGACUCCAUGGUUUACGAGCCAUAAGAGUAUGAAACACUAAGGCAAAAUAGGCUUUUAAAGCGCCCUGAAUUUCCUUAGAUUUCUAAAUUUUUACCCCUCCUCCUUGCAAUUUACGAGUCACAAACUCUUGAAAUACUAAGGGAAAAAUGAGCUUUUAAAGCACAUGGAAUCUCCUUGGAUUUCUAUCUUAAUAAAUUUAGUUUGAAUCAAACACAGAUUUCAAGAGAUCUGUAUUGGUUCUCCUUGGCACUUUGUAGACAUAUCUAAAGGUAUGAUCCAUAUUAGUCAAGAGUUCUUACUUUUAGACUUUGAACCCAAAUCCAUUCAUCAUAGCAAACCUAUCCUAGAAAAACUAAUUAAGAGAACACCAACACCAUAGCAAUUAUAAGGCAAACCAAACACCAAGCAGCUUACCUUAGGUAGGGCGUACUAGGGGUGCUAAUACAUCCCCUUUUACACAACCAGUCCCUUGCCUUAGAAUCUCUGAAAGACCAGUUAGGGUUCCUAGUGACCAUAAUACUAGGUGGCGACUCCCUUAUUCACAAAAAAAAAAAAACAAAAUCAAUCGAGGGUCGCCGCGAUGCCAUGCUUUGCCGUGAGGGUGCGACAUUUGUAAUCAGAGUUUUUUUUUAUAGAUUUUGAUUUUAGCAAUUAUUAUUAUGUGUUGUGAGAGAUUUCUCAUGCUUUGGUUCUUAAAAGAACUUCUCUUGACUUAUCAAAGAAUUAAUCAAUCUUCAUGGUAUUUUUCAUACUUCUCAUUUGUGAUUCUUUGUAAUCAUUAGGUGGAGUCUGAUGAUUAUAGUCUUAGUACCUCGAUACAUGUUAUCGUGUGUCAAACUCAAUUUAAAAGCUUGAAUUUCGCUAUUUUUAAAAAGGCUAAUUUAACUGUGAAUUUAUGAAUUUUUAUAUCCAUGUAGUUCAUAUUUUUUUUGGUAUGCUUGGUAGUGAGAUAAAGUCAUGCUUAAUUAGAUAAAUAUGGAAAUAACCAUAUUUUCUUCUGGGUCUUUCUUUUAUUUUGAUACUUAGCACGUGUUAGUGCUCCUCAGCAUGUAACUCGAACAAGUACACAUGUUUUUUUUAUCUUUUUACAUAAUAUGAGAGGUGUGCCUCAUUCAUUCCUUUUCUGAGUUUCAUUCCUCAUUCAUUCCUUUUCUGAGUGAUCUUUAUGCACAUACCUAUAACUAUACUAAUACGGACAAGGCAUCGCUUACAAUCUUUAAUAUCACUCACUGAUUUUCGAUGUCCACAGCUUAGUAGAAUCUCUACCAAACUUUCAAACGUAGUUUUGUUUUCAACCAUUCAAUAACAUACCAAAUAUUCUACGAUUCAAAAGCUAACCAAACAUUCAAAUACAUAUGAAAAACAAAUCAAUGCCCUUAACAGUCAUCACCCUUCUACGAAAAUACAAUAAAAAUUAUAAGUCUUUUAUACCAGUGGGUAAUACCACUUUUUAUUCUUUUUCGACGUAAAAAAUUAUUUUUGAAUCAACUUAUAUUUUUAUUUUUUUAUUAACGUAGGUGUCCAGACCAGCUUGUUCGCACCUCAACUAAUCUCACGGGUUCUAAAGUUAAUGACCAUGUAAGUCUUCAGUCACUUUGAGGAGAUUCAAACUUGUGAACAUUAAUGAACAGCAAACUCAAGGCCUGACCAGUUGAGCUAUCUCUUAGGAUUUUUAUAUUCAAGCAAUUAUGCAUAAUUAAUAUAAAUAUAGUUUAAGUUAGUUUGUACGUGUGUGUGUUUUACCUAUUCAUCUUUUCUCAUUUACUAAAUUCUGAGAAAUUUUAAUUUAGAAGAGGUUAACUAUCUUACAAAUUAAAAACUCAUAUUAUUACAUGCAUUACAGAAAAAGCAAAAGAAUAGAAAACUAAAAAAAGAAGAAGCAGCGUAACUUAACGUGUCUAUGAGACAAAACUUUUAACAAGAUUGAAUAAUUUUUAUGUUUUUUAUUUGUUUUUAAUUAUGUAACAAGUAGUGUAAAAGAAAAUAGAACUUUAACUCAACAAAAAUAUUCAAUAUUUUUAUUUAUCGUAAAACCUUUUCUUUUUAUGUAACAUAAAUUUUUAGUUAAGCAAGUUCACAUUCUAAUGAAUUUCGUUUAUUUAAUUAUAUAUUAGAGUGCUCCUAGAUCUACUCAAUGUGUCCAUUUUAAGGAGAGAGACAAAUACAAAAAAGAAAAAAAAAAUCAAAUCCAAACUUAUAAGAAAUAAUAAGAAAAAUUUCAUUUAGCCUCCAAAAUAUUUUUUUUCUACAAAAUCCUCAUAAAAACGCAUGUGAAAGUUACUUUUUUUAGAAGACCAAUAAUUUAAAUUUUGGAUAUACCACAAGUUAUUGAGAUAUUCUCAAUUUUGCACACACUAUUUUUGUAUAAUCUUACAAUUAAACUAUUUUGAUUUUUCAAAUAUGUACAUAAAAAAUGAGACUAUUCUCACAAAAAAAAAAUAGAAUUUUGAUGAAAACAUGGACGAAAGGCUUUAAAAAAUGCUAAAAGUCCUUAAAUUGAGAAUUUAUAAAAAGUUUAAUAAUAAAGUUGAUAUAAAAAAUUAUUUAGGUAAGGCUGAAACUAUCUAUGUAGUUGGAAAGUAUUCUUUAGGUUUGCCCUUAAUUUACCACUUACAUAGUUACAUGUUGACACAUCAGUGUGUAUAUAAUUUUAAUUUUAGAAUUUUGUUUGUACAUAAUUUUCCUAUUUUUUUUACGAUCAAUGAUCUAAGAUACUUAUUUUUGUUUACUAAAAUUCUUCAUUAAGUGAUGUGGUAUCAUGUAAUUAAUGUUUUAUCAAUAAAUCACUCUUAUAAUUAAUUAUAAUUAUUCUAUUUAAGAUUUAUAUUUCAUGAUUUGAAAAUAUUUUUUUAUCAUAGAAAAGAAUCAAUUGGCUAAUAACGUCCCUUGUCUUAGAAAGAGAGAUUAAUAUAUGCUAUUUGAUUAAGUAGAACUAGAUACUUGGCUUGCUAAUUUUUUAAAAAUUAUAAAAAAAUAUUAAAUUAUUGUUAACGUGUUUUGUGGAAAAAAAAAUUAAUUAUGAAAUAAAAAUCCAAUUUAUAUUAGACAACACUUUUUAAAUACUGAACAUCUUUUUUCUCUCUUAAAUAUGAGACGAUGAUAUAUUGAACCGAUCAAAACCAACCUUAGUUAACCCGUAAAAUUCAUGACUUAGAUCAUGAGAUAGCGAUAACCGCAUGAAAACCAAACAAUAACCUCAUGAAAAGCAAAUUGAAACAAAUUACAAAAUUCAAUUCUCAAUAAACCUAAUAUUAAAGGCACAAACAUCGACUCACGAUGCGGGCUCGUCGAGUGCGAUGCCGCAACGUCAAGGACGCGUCCCUUCACAGCGGGAUCCAUUUACCAGCAAGUAUGAGGCCUAGUGGAGGGAUGACCUUUAAAUGUAAGUUUGUUUUGCUUUCACAACGACAUAUUUAAUAAUUUUUUUAAAAUAAUUUCAUUUAACAAAUGCACUUUCAGGUUUACAAACAUUGAGGUUACGAGAACAAUAACGUCGACCUUUAAAUCAUGGAUGAAAAUUUCAUUAUUUCAAUGAAGCGAGGUUUCCAAACAUCCUGAAUGAAAACCAUAGGUCGAUGCAUGGUUUUCAAGGUUUAAGGUUAGUAUUAACUUAAAUAUUUUUUAAUUAUAUUAAUUCAGUUAGUUUAUUGAAAUUACUAAAAUUUUUCUUUUAUAAAUUUCAGCUGCAAGGAAAAAUUUGAAUGGGAGAGAGCUAAUAAUAAUAUUGCAAGGACGGUUUGGAAAAAUCACACUGCAACUAGGUAAGAUCGAAAACAUGAUAAUUUUUUUUCCAAAUAUUAAAAUUUUAUUUUUUAUUUACUAACAGAUAAUUCAUUUGUAUCAUAUAGGUUGCGUGAUUUUUUGUACGAGACGCAUAAGAAAGCCCAAAAAUAUACGAAAUAAAGAGAGCUUCCAUACUAGAAUGACGUAGUGUUUAGAAGGAUUUCAGACUGCCAUACAUCUUGGAGGUUGUAUGGGUGGAAUACAUUUUGCACGUGAUGUUCGCGUGUUUCACGCGACGGUCACAAUUCGAUGCAGAGAAUCAGAACCAGCAUGUUCGCGAUUCCAUUAUCACGCAUACCAGCGACUCCAUUCUAUUCGUUUCCCAUUCGAAGUAGAUGGUAAGACUUUUUUUAUUACAUCCAUUUUUUUUGUGUUUUAUAAAUAUAUUUAACUAAUAACAUUUUUAUCUUGCAGGCAACGGUUCUUAGACGCAAGUCAAGCCCGAUAGAGCUUUUUGUUGAAAUACACGUGUGGAGUGAUGAUCAUCAAAAUAGGUUCAACAGUUAAUGGAUAGCCGAGCUUAACACUUUAUGGUAUGUUGGUUUUCAACAAACUUUUUCCCUCAAACACACACAUAUUCUAAAAGUUCAGGGAUUGUUUAAAUUUGUUAUUAUAGCCUAAAACUAAAGUCGAAAAGAACUACAAUGACCCUGGAUUAAAAACAAAAUAGACUAAAAGAUGAAAAAAAAAUCAUAAAUUUAUAACUUAAACUUUAUCAUUUGAUUUUCCUCUUUACAAAAUGUAAGAUAUUUUGUUUCAUAUUUAGUAGUUCUAGGUUCUAUAAAGGCAUGUUAAGAAGGUGUUCAAUUUCCGAACUUGUCCUCUUCUCUCUUUAUAUCCAUCUCUCCUUUGUUCAAGUGUCAUGGCAUCAACCAAGCCAGUAAACUUUCUCGAGGUUUGCCAUGUUAGUCCGUCUUCUACCUCACCCGAGUCAAGCACCGAGCUAUAUCUGCCUCUAAUCUUCUCUGAUAUCUUCAACCUCAAAUUCCCUCCGGUUCAAGGCAUCUUUUUCUAUAAACUCACUGAGUUAACCCCUACUUUCUUUAACUUGGUAAUUCUUCCCAAGGUCAAGC